AUUAGCUUGGUUUUUUAAAAAAGCAAUGUUCUUGUUUUAUCUUUCAGCCCCAGAACUUGCCAGUCAAGAUGAAAAACUUCUUCUAAUGGAAUCCAGCUUGAAAGCUACUCAAGAGCAGCUAACUGAGCAAAUAGCAGAAACAGUUCGCCAAGAACAGAACAGUAGAAAACCCCAGGCAGAGCUGAAGACAGUGACAGAAGGGAUUAUUGCUUCUGAAGAAGAAAAAAAAUGAUUACAAAAUCACCUAUUUUACCGUCUUUUACAACUUCGUUGUAGGAGGUGUGAAAGAGGAGGGAAAUUGUGUUGUUUGAUGGAGAGACUCAAAUUAACAAAGAACUGUGGAAUAUUUCUAGCCAAAAGCCACUGGGGAACUGAUUCCUGCCAACAACCACUGAACUUCGAAGUAGAUCCAUCAGCAACUGGACCCUCAGAUGCGACCCAUGUAUGACACCUUGAUUGGGAUCCUGUGAGAGACCCUCAGGCAGAGCACCUAGUUAAGUCAAACUCAGAUCGCUGACUCCCAGAAACUGUAAGAUUGUGAUAAAUGUUUUGGAGGAAAAUAGAAAGAAGGCUGUGGUUUGAAACGUCUCAACAAACUUCCAAUCAUGCAAAACUUGAGGGAACGAGGAACAGCAAAGCUUGGCACUUUGGAAGCUUGAUAACAUCACAGCAUGGAAGAAAAGUGGAAGGAAGUUAUCACAAAGGAAUAACAAACAACGUGCUCUCCUUAAGCCAUCCUGACUACUCUAACAUCCUGCUUCCACUAAAAAUACUGACGGCCAAAUUCACAAAUAAGAGACAAGAUGGAAACUGAUUGAUUUCAC
rnacentral:lncRNA from 10 species